GGGGAAUUUUGGACAAUGGGCGCAAGCCUGAUCCAGCCAUUCCGCGUGCAGGAUGAAGGCCCUCGGGUUGUAAACUGCUUUUGUACGGAACGAAACGGCGCUUUCUAAUACAGAGCGCUAAUGACGGUACCGUAAGAAUAAGCACCGGCUAACUACGUGCCAGCAGCCGCGGUAAUACGGAGGGUGCAAACGUUGCUCGGAAUUAUUGGGCGUAAAGCGCACGUAGGCGGCCUUUCAAGUCGGAUGUGAAAGCCCUGGGCUCAACCCAGGAAGUGCACCCGAAACUGAUUGGCUUGAAUGCCGGAGGGGCCCAGAGAAUUCCCGGUGUAGAGGUGAAAUUCGUAGAUAUCGGGAGGAAUACCAGUGGCGAAGGCGCUGGGCUGGACGGUCAUUGACGCUGAGGUGCGAAAGCGUGGGGAGCAAA
rnacentral:rRNA from 1 species